CUAGCAUUGAGACUGUUGAAGUGACCGUUGGUUUCAUUAGCAGCAAGUGGAUGCUCCAGAGGACUACAGUACAAACCUGAGCGUGAAUAACAGUGAACACAAACUGAUCUUCAUUCCCAGGAAUAAAAGAGAAAGAGUUGGGAGGUAUAUACCAGGCCAGACCGGAAGGAGACUAACAACAAAGUGUGAGUAGAAAUCUAUUCAAUUUUUUGUUUGAUUUUGCUUUAUAAUCCAUCUGUGAUAAGGACAUGCAAUACGUAUUUGAAAAUGGAUGUUUAAAAUACAUAA
rnacentral:lncRNA from 1 species